UGCUGGCUGUUUUUCGUCAUUUUGAGUAGGGAAGUUUCUAAUAGCUUGGCUCGAGGCCUCGUUAGUAAUAAAACUUCGUGUAAAUGUGUAAAAAAUAGAAGUUUGUGUAAUAGGUUAUUACUCUAAGAAUGCUAGUGUCUCUAGAUGUAUUCAAUGCACUGUAUUAUGUACCUUUGAUGUAUAUAUUGUAUAUAAACUUUAAUCAAAGUCUAUAUACAAUAUGCACAAUCGGGCUGAUCCACAUAGUGCUGCCAUUGCUAUCGGUAAACAUAUAUGGACCCGUAAAUAACUCACAAAAGUGAGUGAACCGAAACACUUGACCUAAAUGUAUCUGUUGAAGACUGCGCCUUUUACACCUCGGAUAUGGGAAUGCAAAAACGAGGACGUAACAUAAGUAUGAGUCCUCAAAAAGCACUUAAAAAGUUAAGAUUAACUAAGUCUUAGAUGUCGUGAUGUCUAUUCGACGUUCCAAUUAAAUCUUGCGAACGUUUUUUUGAAAAAAUAAUCCUAUAUUGCAUAUUAAGCUGUUUCGUACGAAUUAAGGUCUAACCAAGGGUAGGAAAGAAAAAUUGUGAAUGUAUAUGCAAAAAUGGAAGCACAUAAACGCCACUAUAAUGGAGAUAUAGUUGAGAUACACACCUAUUUUUGAUCAUUUUAAGACUGUUGAAAAUAUACCGUUCACAAAAAUCAAGAAGACGCACCCGCAAAUGUUAGAGAAGUUUCUUUAUAUUACCGGGACCAGAAACAGAAAUAUGUCUUAGGGAAAUUUAUAGCAAUAAGAUGAUGCGUCAACAAUCUUUUUGCAUGGAGACUAUUCUUUUGCACACAGAGGAUGAGUGCUGUGCAUAAAUCCCGUUCUGUCAAACGUUCUUCACUCUGAUCAAGUACGAAUAGAUCAGAUCUAUCCUUUAUUGCCAUUACCGAAUUAGAAUGAAAUUUCAUCUCAUUUAAUUUUCGAGAUUUUUACGAUAAAACUUUAAAAGGUUUAUUGACUUCAGGUAGAUAGGCGCUGCACCUUAGGUCAACUUGGAUACGGCUGAAAGCAGUGAUAUUCAGACGCUGCUUUUCAGACAGAGCUAUUUUUGUAGGGACCGCUGUAAGAGCAUGUUUUUACAAUAGCCAAUACAACGAGUUAGAUUAUGUGGUCACCAUGGGUGUUGUAAGGAAUUCGAGCUUAGAGGCUCUAUAGAACGGAGUUUUCUGAAUGUUUUGCUGGUGUAGCCCAACCCUUGGAUGGCCUAAUAGAUCGUUUGAAGCUGGCUUUUGACUGAUCAACAAAUUUAGUGAAGGUUGACGACAGAUGAAUUAUGGUUUGUAACAUGAUUAGCUAGACGUUAAAUGGCUAUCUACUUUUGCCAGGGACACAGUUGUUUAUUAGAAGCUAAGCAUCGUCCCACGUUAAAUGUUGAUUUGAUCGCGCAAAAGAUUUCCGGUUUACAUUCUGGGAGAAAAUUAACAUAAACAUAAUAAACACUUAUACACAAUAAACUGCAAAGACCAGAUGCGGUAACGAUAACGACUGUAACAAUAAUUUGUGUAAUCGCAAUAAGGAAAAGGUUUGGCUAACCUACAAAGUAUGAGUAUUGCUAGAGCCUUUUUUGAGAUGUUUACAGGAUUUUACCGUUUCUAACAGAGUCCAUUCGUAUUUUGAGACUGACACGUCACAAAAAACUAUAUAUACAGGUCGAUAGACUCCCAAAAAUAUGACACUGUUCUUCCGGCAUAUUUCACUGAAUAAAGCAAUCGAUAAAAAACAGCUGUUUGAGCGAGCAGUUACUAAGCGCUCCAACUCUGUAGUAAAUUAAGACAUUGUUUAUUUUUUGUUUUUGUAUUAUUUUUACAAAAUUUAAGUCAAAAGACAUUGUUCUUAGGACGCGCUAAAAGUGUUCAUUUACCGACAGAGGUCUCCAUACUAAUAUUAACAGAAUGACUUUGUUCACUAUGACAAAAAAAAAUCGCGCACAAACAUAGAUGACGCUUUAUUUCUAUUUUGCGUAGUAUAAUUGGCAAAAAAAAAGUCAAGCUAAUUAAGACCAGCUUUAAAAACCAAUGAUGAGUCUGUGUAACACAAAUAAAUAAUAGCGUGAGAUGCGGCUAGUCAUGUACCCACUUAAAUUAAGGAACAUUUUUAGCAAGCUUGCAAAAAAUGGGUCACUUCGGAUUUUUACGGUGCUAGAUAAAAGGCGGUGGGAACUAUGAGAGCGAAAAGGUGCUACAGAAAUCGCUAACUAAACGAUAUACGGGUGUUACAAGUAUGGGAUAAAAGCACAAUUUUCUUACAGCAGGCCAUCAUGGCCAAUCUGCUUGUAUUGAAUUUUAACCGAGCAUUUACCGAGAUCGUUUGUAAACUAAAAGAAGAGCAAUGUUGUUAUUUGAAGCAGCUUAUUAUAAUAAUAGCUUGCAUAAGCUUUUGAAGAUUAAGAUGAUAUGAAUACCUGAAGACUUCAAGAAGUGUUGCCAAUGGAUGCUGCUGCACUUUUCAGAAUCAUAUUUGAAAUGAGGCGCCUUUCAAACAUUCAAUUGCGCAGAUUUUAUAACCCAACUUACUUCAUGUGUGCUACAUUUAAAAUGCUUGCCUUAUUUAAAGUAAAAAAACAUUUAGUUUCCGUUUGCCAAUGAAGAAAAGGUGGAUAUUAAGUAUUCUAUGCAGUAGAGAUAAAUAUAUUCGCAAAGAUCUGUAAAUAAUGAAGUGAGAUAGGAUUUUGUCCGGGACGCUCAUGCUACCACAAGCAGUGGUCGAGGGAUCCCUGUGCACCAUCGUUUCUUGCUUAUGCAGCUAUUCGUCGGAGAAGGGAAACAAAUCUAGCUGCCCAGUUACUAGUUGGAUGGGUAGGCUACGUUGCUUCGAAAUAGCAACUUAUGCCCAUGCCGCCGCUGUAGCGCUAGGAAUAGUCAGAAGUAGUCAAUGUUGUAGUUGUAGGGAAGUGGCUGGGUGGGCGUUUUGGUGUGAUGGGCGCGCAGGAAAAUGGGGAAUAGGGAGACCGCACCGGCUCAGCUAAGUUAGAGACCCCCUGAAAUCCCCUUCUUCCCAUUCCACCUCCAUGAAAAUGUACUUGGCCGAAUGAAUUACAUUAGGAUUAACCGCCCUCUAUCUGCUAACCCAUAGAAGGUAUUUCGGAAACAAAUAGGUCUGGUGUCACGUGCAUAUCAACCUAUAGACUGUGUGUGUGUGUAGAAGAGAAGCAACCUAUAAAACUGUUUAUGCUGCAACGUUCCCAGUGCCGCUCAGAAAACGGGCCAAGUCGCCGUUCUCCUUGAAUGAAAGAACCGCGAGGUUUAGCUGAUCCCUGCAACGAGAUAAAGCCGCCAGAGAAAAUGCAGGUUU